rnacentral:rRNA from 1 species
UACGUAGGGUGCAAGCGUUAAUCGGAAUUACUGGGCGUAAUGCGUGCGCAGGCGGCUUUGCAAGACAGAUGUGAAAUCCCCGGGCUUAACCUGGGAACUGCAUUUGUGACUGCAUCGCUGGAGUGCGGCAGAGGGGGAUGGAAUUCCGCGUGUAGCAGUGAAAUGCGUAGAUAUCCGGAGGAACACCGGUGGCGAAGGCGGCUUCCUGGACCGACACUGACGCUGAGGCGCGAAAGCUAGGGGAGCAAACGGG